UGGAUUGGUCCAAGUGAAAUUAGUAGGGAGUAGAGAGAAGAGUGAGGACCACCACCGCUACCGCCGCCGCCGCCGAGAGAUGGCCGGCUAUGGCGAAAUGAGAUAUGAGAACAACUGUUCAAAAAAGCAAUGACUUUGGGCGUAUGAUCACAGCUUGGAUCAGUGUGAAAUUUGAGCUCGAUCAGUGAACUUUGAAGGAAAGUAACGAAAAAAAAAAUUGUAAAAAGAAAUUAAAAAUAAAACUCACGAGAUCAACAACAAAAAUAGCAAGUGAAUAAUAAUUUUUAUGAAUUAAUUAUUUAACUCAAAUAUGAACAAAUUAUCGCAUAAAUAUGAACAUAAAAAAAACCAGAAAAAAAAUCAAAUUUCCUUGAAAGAAAAAACAUAAGAAAUGAAAAUCUCGCAUUUGUUACAAUAAAAUCAAGUGAAUGUAAAUUAUAUUUUUAUAUCAAUAUAAAACGCCAGGCAGCCCAUCCCAUUUCAGCCCAGCUGAAAAAGGUUAAGACCCUUAGUAAAAAAACAAAAUAUUAAAAAAAAGUAAUAAAUACAUAAAGCGGUGAUAAUUCUUAUCGCUUAGUUUGUUGGCAUUUGUACCGCGGUGCUGAUACCAUAUUCUCGUCGCUUGCUGAUGCUGAUGGCGGUUGUUGUUCCAUUCAUUUGUUUUUGUUAUUUUUUUUUCUGUUAUUUAUUAUAACAUAUUGCUGGCGGUGAUUAUUUUGAAAAAUAUUUUUCCUUCAAAUCAAAUGCAAUUUUUACUUAAUUGCUCUCAAACAAUUCAGUGCUGCAAUGCGUUUGGCUGUGUUUGUGAGUCCAUUGAAGUUUUACUAUCAAAUUUGAAAGUGAUAUUCGAAUUAGAAUAAAACCAACGACAACAGGAAUGAAUGGAAAUGGAAAAUAAAAAACGAAAUAACAUUUAAUCAAAAACAUAAAAUAUUUGAGAUUUAAUGGAAUCAAUAACUGCAACACCCUCAUGCAUAGACAUUUGAUAACAACGUUAGAGCUGCAUGGAGUUCAAACAUGCAUUUUCUCCUGAUAAAUCAAUAAAAAUGUUUGAUGUGCGAUGGUCCUCAUAAUGAGGUUUCGCGUAUACGAUGAGUUAAAAGGAUACAUCAUUAACAAAUAUAGGAUUGAACUGGAUAAUAUCUAAUUAUAAAUCCAACACCUCGGAAUAUUUUUUGAUGUUCGUCGCCUCUUCCACAAAUCUAUGAUCUUAGUUAGAGGAAUACCAAAAAUGGAGUCUUCAGGAGCCCACACACUGCUAAUACAUUUCUGUCUCCCAAUUUUGAAUUUGAAGACUACUUGAAUUGCAUUUGAAAGAGUGAAGGUUUGAUAACAACUGUGAUGGCAUUUAUUUCUAGCAUGGAAAUGUUCAGCUUUGUUCAGGUAGAACAAAUUUUCACAAGAGAUUGCGGGAACAAUUAAAUAGUCGAAGGUGUCUCAGUUAAAUAACCACUAUCGGA